GCCAGGCGUGGUGGCACACGCCUGUAAUCCCAGCAGCCCGGGAGGCUGAGGCAGGAGGAAUGAGUUCAAUGCCAGUCUCAGCAAAAGCAAGGUACUAAGCAACUCAGUGAGACCCUGUCUCCA
rnacentral:sRNA from 1 species